UUUCCGUAGGUGAACCUGCGGAAGGAUCAUUACAGAGUUCAUGCCCUCACGGGUAGAUCUCCCACCCUUGAAUAUUAUACCUUCGUUGCUUUGGCAGGCCGUGGAAACACCAGAGGCUCCGGCUGAUGCGUGCCUGCCAGAGGAAACAAACUCUGGUUUUAGUGAUGUCUGAGUACUAUAUAAUAGUUAAAACUUUCAACAACGGAUCUCUUGGUUCUG
rnacentral:misc_RNA from 1 species